GCAAGUCAAGCAUUUAUGGGGCCAGGCUGAGGCAACUAUGGUCUUGUUUGUGCUUUUCUUCAAGCAAUUUUGGGUUGUUGUAAGGUGGAAUGUCAGCAUGAUGCUGCUGCUCAGUUAUUUGCUAAUGACCUUCACCUGCAAUUUCCAGAUUUCUUUCUUGAGGAUAAGCAACUUUGAUGGGGGGUAUUGAUACAAAGCUGAUGCAAAUGUUUACGUGGCAACGUGCAAUGGUGGGUGGGUGUUAAGAUCACUUGGUG
rnacentral:misc_RNA from 1 species